AGUAGUCUUCCCUCAGGGAACUUAUUCCGGUGUGAACGCGAUCUGUACUUAGUGACCUGGGGUACUAAGUGCCGGGGCACUAAUUUCCGGCACUAAGUACAGCAAAGUACUCGGUGCGAAAGCGGCUAUAGUAUGGAAUAGGAACCAAAUCAGAAACAUGGCAGAUUAACACUGAAAUAUUGCCAUGUUUUAGUGUCUGUUGAUUGUUAUGCGACUGCAGAUUUUUUAUGAAUGGUCCUUGUUCAAUAAUCCAUCUGUGACCAUGUUCAUUUUCCUUUACUGUCACUGUCUACUUACCACUUGGUUCUGAGCCCAGAUGGACACCACUCCACUGGAGAUGGAAGCGAUAAUUGGACGGACAGGAUGCCACUGGACAGAGGUCAAAGUGAGCCAGUUUUUGAGAUCCUUACCGCCACAUCCAGCAGCAGCUCUCCUCUGGUUCCAUGAAGGAUCUUCACCAGGUUGCCGAUGCUCUUCUCCCAGAUGUAGAGCGCGUGCUGCCGGGCAGAACCGGCCACGAUGUACUCGCCAUCGCCGGAGAAACAGCAACGCUUCCACGGAGUCCUGAAUGCAGAAUACACAGAUAGAGUACAUAAACAAAUAGAUCGGAGGAAAACACGCUACGAUUAUCGAGUUAAAUUAAAUGAAUUUCAAGGUAAAAUAUUACAAAUCAUUACAUCUUAAUUGUUACUAUAAAUGCAAUUAGGAAAAUUAAAGUUUACAGAAUUACCCACAGCUAUCGAUGCAUAUUGUUACAAGAAAAUAACUAUUUCUGUUUUUUGUAAAGCACUUUGAAUUGCCUUAUGUUGAUAUGUGCUAUAUAAAUAAACUUUUGUUUUUUACACCA